rnacentral:misc_RNA from 1 species
AUCUUUUAAUUACUUAUUUUAAGUAAAAUAUUAUGUUAUUUUCAAAAGUGUGGGGUUUUAAAUACGCGCAAGCCAGGCUUGCUUAGAUUCAAUAAUGAUCCUUCCGCAGGUUCACCUACGGAAA